GGAUGAUGAUGAUGAUGACACAGAGCUACCACCACCAUCACCCCCCCCACAGGACUGCAGCUCGCCGGUCCCAUCUGCCUCCGUGUCAUCACGGCAAGCCAGACGAGGAAAAAAGCGUGAACAUGAGGAGCUGUUGGACUAGAUGGAGAAGGCUGACGAUAAGUUCCUGCAGCUCAACAAAGACAUGGUGGCAAAGAUGGAGGCAGACACCAGCGCUCUGCUGGGGCUCAUGGGGCGCAUGGUGGCAGUGAUGGAGGCGCAA